GGGGAAUUGUUCGCAAUGGGCGCAAGCCUGACGACGCAACGCCGCGUGGAGGACGAAGACCUUCGGGUCGUAAACUCCUUUCGAUCGGGAAGAACGGCUUCCGGGUGAACAAUCCGGAAGAGUGACGGUACCGAGAGAAGAAGCCCCGGCUAACUCUGUGCCAGCAGCCGCGGUAAUACAGGGGGGGCAAGCGUUGUUCGGAAUUACUGGGCGUAAAGGGCGUGCAGGCGGCUUGUUAAGUGCAGGGUGAAAGCUCCCGGCUCAACUGGGAGAGGUCCUUGCAUACUGGCGAGCUCGAGGGAGGCAGAGGAAAGUGGAAUUCCCGGUGUAGUGGUGAUAUGCGUAGAUAUCGGGAGGAACACCUGUGGCGAAGGCGGCUUUCUGGGCCUUACCUGACGCUGAGACGCGAAAGCGUGGGGAGCGAA
rnacentral:rRNA from 1 species